GUGCUUGUUUUGGCAGCACAUAUACAAAAAUUGGACCCUCACAGAUUAGCAUGGUCCUGCGUAAGGAUGACAGGCAAAUUCGUGAAGCAUUCCACAAUUUU
rnacentral:snRNA from 1 species